CUCGGCUCCUCACAUCCCAAAAAACGCGCACCAACACAGCCUGAUGCGCCUUCCCGUUCCACUUCCACUGCUCCUUUAAUUCCCAUCGAGUCCGGCCACCCCGCUCCGUCUUCUUGGCUUGCUUAACAAAUCUGCCUCCACUGCGAGACGCCUCCUCCAGUGCUCGCCAGUCGACGCCAAAUAGGCCGCCGCAACCACAUGUAGCUGCGUCCAGCCACCGCGGGCGGCUGCCGCUGCUCGACCACCAUCGAUUUGGGUUGGUUUCGGUGCUCUCGAUUCCCGCUCGCGUCGCGGCCUCGCAAAGUCGCAGGAACUAAAGCGUCCACUAGAAGAAAUCUGGUGUAGUUUUGCAGCCCUGAUGGAGCCAUACCGAUGCCAAGUACUGACAAGGCUGCCUGAUCCCAAUCGAAAUAGUGCCUCUAUCACAAAGUACGUAUGAGCAGGAAGAUGAGCUAUUGGUAUAUGGAUCGGGGUCACGUACAAGUUCUAGAAUGUAUGGAUGUGGUGAUGCUGGAUUUGUUUCAUGGUGAAUCUCAGGCAACCCUUCAUCAAGCUUAUCUGUUACUCCUCACAUUCCAACAUCUUUGGCUAACUUUUGGGGGAUGCAUGCCAUCCAGGGAGGCGAUGAAUUGGCUACCGAGCGACCAUACGACGCCUACUCUCUCUGCUGCAUCUGCGAUUCAGCAUGAGUGUCUUCGGCUAGAAUGAGAACAUCGCAUAGUGUAAUUGCAGCCAAUCCCUUCCUUAUUUUUUCUCAGCAUGAUGUGCUCCAAUUUAGUGUAGUGGAUUUGAGGGGCUCCAGAGGUGAUAUGUCUUCAAAUGCUACCUCAUCAUUUUUCAUUUGUGGUGUUUCUUAUAGUUGUUUCAGUAAGAGAUCAAUGGGAAACGACAAUGUGUUUGGAUAAGUUAUUUAUGUGAAAAGUUAUCUA